rnacentral:tRNA from 1 species
UCCUCUGUAGUUCAGUCGGUAGAACGGCGGACUGUUAAUCCGUAUGUCACUGGUUCGAGUCCAGUCAGAAGGAGCCA